GUAGGGUGCAAGCGUUAAUCGGAAUUACUGGGCGUAAAGCGUGCGCAGGCGGUUCUGUAAGACAGAUGUGAAAUCCCCGGGCUCAACCUGGGAAUUGCAUUUGUGACUGCAGGACUAGAGUUCAUCAGAGGGGGGUGGAAUUCCAAGUGUAGCAGUGAAAUGCGUAGAUAUUUGGAAGAACACCAAUGGCGAAGGCAGCCCCCUGGGAUGCGACUGACGCUCAUGCACGAAAGCGUGGGGAGCAAACAGGAUUAGAUACCCUGGUAGUCCACGCCCUAAACGAUGUCUACUGGUUGUUGGGGUUUUUUAACCUUGGUAACGAAGCUAACGCGUGAAGUA
rnacentral:rRNA from 1 species